rnacentral:rRNA from 1 species
UACGGGGGGAGCAAGCGUUGUUCGGAUUUACUGGGCGUAAAGGGCGCGUAGGCGGUCAGCACAAGUCAGUUGUGAAAUCUCCGGGCUUAACCCGGAAAGGUCAACUGAUACUGUGCGACUAGAGUGCGGAAGGGGCAACUGGAAUUCUCGGUGUAGCGGUGAAAUGCGUAGAUAUCGAGAGGAACACCUGCGCCGAAGGCGGGUUGCUGGGCCGACACUGACGCUGAUGCGCGAAAGCCAGGGGAGCGAACGGG